rnacentral:ncRNA from 1 species
GUGGAGGUAGAAGGCCCACGGGUCAUGAACUUCUUUUUCCGGAGAAGAAGCAAUGACAUAUCUGGGGAAUAAGCAUCGGCUAACUCUGUGCCAGCAGUCACGGUAAUACGGAGGAUGC